rnacentral:rRNA from 1 species
AAAAUCAAUAGUUUUUUAAUUGAAAACUGGAAUGAAAGAAUUGAUAAAAUAUAAACUGUCUCAAAUUAAAUUUAUUUUAAUUUAAAUAAAAAGUUAAAAUGCUUUUAUAAAUUUAUUAGACGAUAAGACCCUAAGAAUUUGAAAAUUUUAAUUUUAUUAAAUGGAAUUUAUGAUAUAUAAAUUAAUAUUUUAAUAUUUUUUUAUUGGGAGGGUAAUUAAAUUUUAAAACUUUAAUUAAAUAAAAACAUUGAUAAUUGAAUGGAUUAAUUUAUGAUAAUUAUUAUAAUUAUGAGAAUAAAUUACCUUA